rnacentral:misc_RNA from 1 species
GAUGAAGAACGUAGCGAAAUGCGAUACUUGGUGUGAAUUGCAGAAUUCAGUGAAUCAUCGAGUCUUUGAACGCACAUUGCGCCCCCUGGUAUUCCGGGGGGCAUGCCUGUCCGAGCGUCAUUGCUGCCCUCAAGCACGGCUUGUGUGUUGGGCCCCGUCCCCUCCCCCGGGGACGGGCCCGAAAGGCAGCGGCGGCACCGCGUCCGAUCCUCGAGCGUAUGGGGCUUUGUCACCCGCUCUGUAGGCCCGGCCGGCGCCAGCCGACACCCAACUUUUAUUUCUAAGGUUGACCUCGGAUCAGGUAGGGAUACCCGCUGAACUUAAGCAUAUCAAUAAGCGGAGGA